rnacentral:rRNA from 1 species
UUGAGAAAAAAAAAUGUAACAAGGUCUCCGUAGGUGAACCUGCGGAGGGAUCAUUACCCAAAUAUGAAACGCAGACUGGGCACCCUCGAGGAGCGAUUCGUCGUCCCCCUCCUGGGCCGGUCUGACGCCAUAUUCACCCAUGUCUUUUGCGUACUACUUGUUUCCUUGGCGGGUUCGCCCGCCAUUAGGACCCAACCAUAAACCUUUUUGUAAUUGCAAUCAGCGUCUGAACAAUGUAAUAAAUUACAACUUUCAACAACGGAUCUCUUGGUUCUGGCAUCGAUGAAGAACGCAGCGAAAUGCGAUAAGUAGUGUGAAUUGCAGAAUUCAGUGAAUCAUCGAAUCUUUGAACGCACAUUGCGCCCUUUGGUAUUCCAAAGGGCAUGCCUGUUCGAGCGUCAUUUGUACCCUCAAGCUUUGCUUGGUGUUGGGCGUUUUUGUCUUGGGUCCGCCCCGAGACUCGCCUUAAAAUCAUUGGCAGCCGGCCUACUGGUUUCGGAGCGCAGCACAUUUUUUGCGCUUUGGUCUAGUGGUCCAGCGUCCAUGAAGCGAAUAUUUUCAAUUUGACCUCGGAUCAGGUAGGGAUACCCGCUGAACUUAAGCAUAUCAAGAGCAAAAGAAACCAACAGGGAUUGCCCUAGUAACGGCGAAGUGAAGCGGCAACAGCUCAAAUUUGAAAUCUGGCUCUUUCAGGGUCCGAGUUGUAAUUUGCAGAGGGCGCUUUGGCUUUGGCAGCGGUCCAAGUUCCUUGGAACAGGACGUCACAGAGGGUGAGAAUCCCGUACGUGGUCGCUAGCUAUUGCCGUGUAAAGCCCCUUCGACGAGUCGAGUUGUUUGGGAAUGCAGCUCUAAAUGGGAGGUAAAUUUCUUCUAAAGCUAAAUACUGGCCAGAGACCGAUAGCGCACAAGUAGAGUGAUCGAAAGAUGAAAAGCACUUUGGAAAGAGAGUCAAACAGCACGUGAAAUUGUUGAAAGGGAAGCGCUUGCAGCCAGACUUGCUUGCAGUUGCUCAUCCGGGCUUUUGCCCGGUGCACUCUUCUGCAGGCAGGCCAGCAUCAGUUUGGGCGGUGGGAUAAAGGUCUCUGUCACGUACCUCUCUUCGGGGAGGCCUUAUAGGGGAGACGACAUACCACCAGCCUGGACUGAGGUCCGCGCAUUCGCUAGGAUGCUGGCGUAAUGGCUGUAAGCGGCCCGUCU